AUAUCAAUAAGCGGAGGAAAAGAAACCAACAGGGAUUGCCUCAGUAACGGCGAGUGAAGCGGCAACAGCUCAAAUUUGAAAUCUGGCCUCACGGUCCGAGUUGUAAUUUGUAGAGGACGUUUUGGGUACCGCCGUGGUUUAAAUUUCUUGGAACAGAAUGUCAAAGAGGGUGAGAGUCCCGUCUUGGACCGCGGUAGGGCCCAUGUGAAACUCCCUCGACGAGUCGAGUUGUUUGGGAAUGCAGCUCAAAAUGGGUGGUAAAUUUCAUCUAAAGCUAAAUAUUGGCCAGAGACCGAUAGCGCACAAGUAGAGUGAUCGAAAGAUGAAAAGCACUUUGAAAAGAGAGUUAAACAGUAUGUGAAAUUGUUGAAAGGGAAGCGCUGGCAACCAGACUUGCGUGCGGGGGUUCCCCCUGGCUUCUGCCUGGGCUACUCCCCCGUAUCCAGGCCAACAUCGGUUUGGGUGGUCGGUCAAAGGCCUUGGGAAUGUAUCUUCCUCCGGGAAGACUUAUAGCCCUCGGUGUCAUGCGGCCUACCCGGACCGAGGAACGCGCUUCGGCUCGGAUGUUGGCGUAAUGGUUGUCAGCGA
rnacentral:rRNA from 1 species